rnacentral:rRNA from 1 species
GACGAACGCUGGCGGCAUGCCUAACACAUGCAAGUCGAACGGAACUUGUUGAAAGAAGUUUUCGGAUGGAUUUUGAUAAGUUUAGUGGCGGACGGGUGAGUAACGCGUGAGCAACCUGCCUUUCAGAGGGGGACAACAGUUGGAAACGACUGCUAAUACCGCAUAAGCGCACGGUGCUGCAUGGCACGGUGUGAAAAGAUUUAUCGGCAUACGAUGGACCCGCGUCUGAUUAGCUAGUUGGUGAGGUAACGGCCCACCAAGGCGACGAUCAGUAGCCGGCCUGAGAGGGUGAACGGCCACAUUGGGACUGAGACACGGCCCAAACUCCUACGGGAGGCAGCAGUGGGGAAUAUUGGACAAUGGGGGGCAACCCUGAUCCAGCGACGCCGCGUGAGUGAAGAAGUAUUUCGGUAUGUAAAGCUCUAUCAGCAGGGAAGAAAAUGACGGUACCUGACUAAGAAGCUCCGGCUAAAUACGUGCCAGCAGCCGCGGU